AUUGAACGCUGGCGGCAGGCCUAACACAUGCAAGUCGAACGGUAACAGGGAUCAGCUUGCUGAUUCGCUGACGAGUGGCGGACGGGUGAGUCAUGUCUGGGAAACUGCCUGAUGGAGGGGGAUAACUACUGGAAACGGUAGCUAAUACCGCAUAACGUCGCAAGACCAAAGAGGGGGACCUUCGGGCCUCUUGCCAUCGGAUGUGCCCAGAUGGGAUUAGCUAGUAGGUGGGGUAACGGCUCACCUAGGCGACGAUCCCUAGCUGGUCUGAGAGGAUGACCAGCCACACUGGAACUGAGACACGGUCCAGACUCCUACGGGAGGCAGCAGUGGGGAAUAUUGCACAAUGGGCGCAAGCCUGAUGCAGCCAUGCCGCGUGUAUGAAGAAGGCCUUCGGGUUGUAAAGUACUUUCAGCGGGGAGGAAGGGAGUAAAGUUAAUACCUUUGCUCAUUGACGUUACCCGCAGAAGAAGCACCGGCUAACUCCGUG
rnacentral:rRNA from 1 species